GGUCGCCUCCCAAAAGGUAACGGAGGCGCUCAAAGGUUCUCUCAGUACGGUCGGAAAUCGUACGUAGAGUGUAAAGGCAAAAGAGAGCUUGAUUGCAAGACAUACAGGUCGAGCAAGGAUGAAAAUCGGACUUAGUGAUCCGGUGGUUCUGCGUGGAAGGGCCAUCGCUCAACGGAUAAAAGCUCCCCUGGGGAUAACAGGCUUAUCUCCCCCAAGAGUCCACAUCGACGGGGAGGUUUGGCACCUCGAUGUCGGCUCAUCACAUCCUGGGGC
rnacentral:rRNA from 1 species